GACGGCGUGAGAGGAGGAGCUCGCAGAGGUAAUUCGGCAGCACUGCUGACCCGUCGACGCCCGCAGCAACGGUUUGGCGGGACAGAUGCGACCCUUGGACGUCGUCGAGCUGGCAGAGCCGGAGGAGGUGGAGGUGCUGGAGCCCGAGGAGGAUUUCGAGCAGUUCCUGCUGCCCGUCAUCAACGAGAUGCGGGAGGACAUCGCGGCGCUGACCCGGGAGCACGGCCGGGCGUACAUGCGGAACCGGAGCAAGCUGUGGGAGAUGGACAGUAUGCUCAUCCAAAUCAAAACGCAGGUGGAGGCCUCGGAGGAGAGCGCCCUGAACCAUCUUCAGAAUCCCGACGAUGGAGUCGAGGGCAGAGGGACCAAACGGUGCGAGAAGGCGGAGGAGAAGGCCAAGGAGAUCGCGAAGAUGGCAGAGAUGUUGGUGGAGCUGGUCCGGCGGAUAGAGAGAAGCGAAUCGUCGUGAGGGAGGGCGGGCGGUUGCAGAAAUCUGGGACUCAGUGUCUUGAUGGCAAAUUUCUGCCAAUUGUGCGUCGGGUUCACAGCUCAUGGACUCUGGUCACCUGAUACAUCCUGUGCUUUCCUUUCCCCAACGCUGGGCCUGUGGCUGGCUGUUCCUUCAAUCACCAUCUUAAUCCAGUGAUCAAAGUGGACAUGACAAGAAAUGGGACAGACCGACACCGCGUGCCAUCUGAUAAGAUGCCGUGAGAAGAGCAUCGCGUCACUUCUGGGACAUUCUUGCCAAAGGUACACGACCCAGGCCCAGUCACGAGCAAACCUCAGACAACCUCAACUCGAAGGAAAUUCUGCAAAAUUAUUAGCUCGUAAUCCUCAAAAGUGUCAAGGUCAUGCAAGUCUGGGAAAGGCGGCGUAAACGUGAUCCCUUUGCUCUAUAAAAGACCUUAUUAGGAACAAUUGGCUGGGCGGGGUGCCUGGGUGGCUCAGUCAGAGGAGCCUCCGACUUGG